UACGUAGGGCGCAAGCGUUAUCCGGAAUUACUGGGCGUAAAGGGCUCGUAGGCGGCCAACUAAGUCAGACGUGAAAUCCCUCGGCUUAACCGGGGAACUGCGUCUGAUACUGGAUGGCUUGAGUUUGGGAGAGGGAUGCGGAAUUCCAGGUGUAGCGGUGAAAUGCGUAGAUAUCUGGAGGAACACCGGUGGCGAAGGCGGCAUCCUGGACCAACACUGACGCUGAGGAGCGAAAGCCAGGGGAGCAAACGGG
rnacentral:rRNA from 1 species